CACCUAACUGGUUUGAGAGGAUGAUCAGUCACACUGGAACUGAGACACGGUCCAGACUCCUACGGGAGGCAGCAGUGGGGAAUAUUGCACAAUGGACGAAAGUCUGAUGCAGCAACGCCGCGUGGAGGAUGACACAUUUCGGUGCGUAAACUCCUUUUAUAUAGGAAGAUAAUGACGGUACUAUAUGAAUAAGCACCGGCUAACUCCGUGCCAGCAGCCGCGGUAAUACGGAGGGUGCAAGCGUUACUCGGAAUUACUGGGCGUAAAGAGCGUGUAGGCGGGUUUGUAAGUUGGAUGUGAAAUCCUAUGGCUCAACCAUAGAACUGCAUCCAAAACUGCUUACCUAGAAUAUGGGAGAGGUAGAUGGAAUUUCUGGUGUAGGGGUAAAAUCCGUAGAGAUCAGAAGGAAUACCGAUUGCGAAGGCGAUCUACUGGAACAUUAUUGACGCUGAGACGCGAAAGCGUGGGGAGCAAACAGAAUUAGAUACCCUGGUAGUCCACGCCCUAAACGAUGUACACUAGUUGUUGUGAGGCUAGACCUUGCAGUAAUGCAGUUAACACAUUAAGUGUACCGCCUGGGGAGUACGGUCGCAAGAUUAAAACUCAAAGGAAUAGACGGGGACCCGCACAAGCGGUGGAGCAUGUGGUUUAAUUCGACGAUACGCGAAGAACCUUACCUGGUCUUGACAUAGUAAGAAGAUUUCAGAGAUGAGAUUGUGUCUGCUUGCAGAAACUUAUAUACAGGUGCUGCACGGCUGUCGUCAGCUCGUGUCGUGAGAUGUUGGGUUAAGUCCCGCAACGAGCGCAACCCUCGUCGUUAGUUGCUAACAGUUCGGCUGAGAACUCUAACGAGACUGCCUACGCAAGUAGGG
rnacentral:rRNA from 1 species